rnacentral:tRNA from 1 species
AAGGGAGACCUAAUUCAGGUAAAAGACGAAAAAAAAGUAGUCGCUACCAAGAAUCAAUCCCAAAAGGUCGGAGCGAGGCGAAAUUGGCUUUCAAACUAGGUUCUGGGUUCAAACAAGACCUGAAUCAGGAACAAGGGCUAUUAGCUCAGGUGGUUAGAGCGCACCCCUGAUAAGGGUGAGGUCCCUGGUUCGAGUCCAGGAUGGCCCACCUGCACAGGUGGCAAAAACAAGAGAAGCGAGGAAUCAGCACCUUAUCUUACUGACAUAGUAAGAGAGAAUGCUGGCUCUGAGUAAAGAGUCCAGAGGAACCUUGAAAACUGCAUAGAGCUAGGUGAAAAAGCCAAAAAAGAAGACCGCAAGGUCAGGCUAAUAAGGGCUAACGGUGGAUACCUAGGCAC